UUUAAGGCAUUAUAUCAAUCAUAAAACAAGCAUCGCUAAAGUCUCGCCUACAAUACAACCUGUCUAUCAAAUACUAGACUCUGCUAUGCCGGAAACAAGCACAAGAAAAAAAUGGAGAGACAAGGGUUUAAAGAUUUAAUAUUAAUUAAGUAAACUAAACAAUGCAAGCUGGAGUUCAUAAUACUUUAAACUCGUAAAGUUAAUCCCUCAAGAGGAUCGGCUUCUUCAAAGAAACUCAAAUAAGAGUCAUCAGUGAGAGCCAUCAUUUCAUAAGAGACCGCAGUAUAAGAGUCGGGGCAUGUAACAUUGGUAGCAUAAUCGCAACCAGAGCUAGAGCAGUUGAAACGUCCAAUUUCGGCAAUGCGGUUGGGACGGUUGGAGUAGACAGUAGAAUCGUUGGCAACGGAGGAGAGGUUGAAGAGAAUGAAUCGGCCAGUGCCAUUAACACCUUCAACAGUGAUGGGGAAACCGCUAGUAUCGAGAUGGAAGUUAAGUUCGCAACUACCGGAAACUUGAGGAACAUCAAAUGUGAAAAUCGUGUUGGUAUGAUUGUUUUGCUUCUGAAAGACGACGGGUGAGUAAACAUUACCGGAGUUAGCUUCAGGCUUAGUCGAAUCAAUUAAACGAAUGCCAUGGGGGAACAAAGGAUAUACAGCAGCAGAAGGUGAUGGAGUUGCAGCUUCACUUUGGCUAGCGGCAGUGGUGAUAACAGGGACAACAAUACACUUGGUGGUAUAAGCAACGACGCUAGAAGCAGAAGGACUGGGUCCAACAUAUGUGGUAGUUUUAGUAGUAGUGGCAGUGUUUUUACGUUGGGUAGAAGUAACGGUAGAGGGCUGAGUGGAUG